rnacentral:lncRNA from 1 species
ACCAAUACAGCUAGCCAAAAAUGGCAAUAUAGAAAAGUCCCGUGCAGAUUCUCCAAAUAAGUUACUGAUUAAAAAUCAAUGUGCAUAUGCUAACAUAUUCAUAAACAAUAAAAUGCAGAACGUUAAUAAUAGUAUUGUUAGUGUAGACAAAAACAAACCUAUGAUGCCAUUGGUAAAUCCAAACAAUGCUAUAUUUGAUUAUGACGAAUUAAAAAGUUAUGUUAUACAUGAUAAUAUGGACAAUAACAGUGAUAGCAAUAAUAAUAGCAGCAAUAAUAAUAGCAACAAAAAUAGUGUAAAUAACACAGAGGGCAAUGUAUAUUAUAAUAACUUUUUUUUACCAUACAUAAAUAACACAAAUGUCGAAAUGAGUAAUCCCUUUUUGAAAAGCAACAAUAAUAAUAACAAUAACAGCAGUACUAGUAGUAGUAGUAGUAGUAGUGUUGAUAAACAAGGUAUUAUACCCAAUGUACCGCUUAAUUAUAAAAAAAUAAAUCCAAACAAGUAUACGAUGCACAACACAGUGCAUAACACAAUGUACAACACAAUGCACAACACAAUGCACAAUACAAUGCACAACACAAUGCACAACACAAUGCACAACACAAUGCACAACACAAUGCACAACACAAUGCACAACACAAUACACAACACAAUACACAACACAAUGCACAACACAAUGCACAACACAAUGCACAACACAAUACACAACACAAUACACAACACAAUGCACAACACAAUGCACAACACAAUGCACAACACAAUGCACAACACCAUGCAAAACGUUAUGUAUCAAAGUUGGGAAAAUAUGAGUAAGUAUAACGAAAUGUGUGCCAAUAUAAACGUUAAUGAUAAUAAAUUUGUUAGUAUAAAUCAUAUAAAUGAUAAGGAACGAAAAAAACAAUUUGAAAAACAAGAACAAAGUAAUAUAGUGAGACAUAAAAAUAAUCACCAAAUGAAUAAAUUAUCUGAUUCUCAGUUAAACCUGUUGACAAACGAGAAUAUAGAUGAUAGAUCACAAUGGGUAAGUAAUUGCGAUUCAAAUGAAAAUAUAAAUAACACGUUAAAUAGCAAACAAUUUAACAUUUUUUUAAACAAUAAAAAAACAUAUAUCCAACGAAAUUCAAAUAACGCUUAUCAUUCGCUCGCUGUAAAUAAUAAAUCAAGUGUAAAUAAAAAUAACCCAAUACAAAAUA